rnacentral:rRNA from 1 species
UACGUAGGGUGCAAGCGUUGUCCGGAAUUAUUGGGCGUAAAGAGCUCGUAGGCGGUUUGUCACGUCUGGUGUGAAAAUCCAGGGCUUAACCCUGGACCUGCAUCGGGUACGGGCAGACUAGAGUGCGGUAGGGGAGAUCGGAAUUCCUGGUGUAGCGGUGAAAUGCGCAGAUAUCAGGAGGAACACCGGCGGCGAAGGCGGAUCUCUGGGCCGUAACUGACGCUGAGGAGCGAAAGCAUGGGGAGCGAACAGG